rnacentral:rRNA from 1 species
UACGAAGGGGGCUAGCGUUGCUCGGAAUCACUGGGCGUAAAGCGCACGUAGGCGGCUUGUUAAGUCAGGGGUGAAAUCCUGGAGCUCAACUCCAGAACUGCCUUUGAUACUGGCGAGCUUGAGUCCGGGAGAGGUGAGUGGAACUGCGAGUGUAGAGGUGAAAUUCGUAGAUAUUCGCAAGAACACCAGUGGCGAAGGCGGACUCACUGGCUCGGAUACUGACGCUGAGGUGCGAAAGCGUGGGGAGCAA